rnacentral:rRNA from 1 species
CGGGGUGCUAUACAUGCAAGUCGAACGAACUCUGGUAUUGAUUGGUGCUUGCAUCAUGAUUUACAUUUGAGUGAGUGGCGAACUGGUGAGUAACACGUGGGAAACCUGCCCAGAAGCGGGGGAUAACACCUGGAAACAGAUGCUAAUACCGCAUAACAACUUGGACCGCAUGGUCCGAGUUUGAAAGAUGGCUUCGGCUAUCACUUUUGGAUGGUCCCGCGGCGUAUUAGCUAGAUGGUGGGGUAACGGCUCACCAUGGCAAUGAUACGUAGCCGACCUGAGAGGGUAAUCGGCCACAUUGGGACUGAGACACGGCCCAAACUCCUACGGGAGGCAGCAGUAGGGAAUCUUCCACAAUGGACGAAAGUCUGAUGGAGCAACGCCGCGUGAGUGAAGAAGGGUUUCGGCUCGUAAAACUCUGUUGUUAAAGAAGAACAUAUCUGAGAGUAACUGUUCAGGUAUUGACGGUAUUUAACCAGAAAGCCACGGCUAACUACGUGCCAGCAGCCGCGGUAAUACGUAGGUGGCAAGCGUUGUCCGGAUUUAUUGGGCGUAAAGCGAGCGCAGGCGGUUUUUUAAGUCUGAUGUGAAAGCCUUCGGCUCAACCGAAGAAGUGCAUCGGAAACUGGGAAACUUGAGUGCAGAAGAGGACAGUGGAACUCCAUGUGUAGCGGUGAAAUGCGUAGAUAUAUGGAAGAACACCAGUGGCGAAGGCGGCUGUCUGGUCUGUAACUGACGCUGAGGCUCGAAAGUAUGGGUAGCAAACAGGAUUAGAUACCCUGGUAGUCCAUACCGUAAACGAUGAAUGCUAAGUGUUGGAGGGUUUCCGCCCUUCAGUGCUGCAGCUAACGCAUUAAGCAUUCCGCCUGGGGAGUACGGCCGCAAGGCUGAAACUCAAAGGAAUUGACGGGGGCCCGCACAAGCGGUGGAGCAUGUGGUUUAAUUCGAAGCUACGCGAAGAACCUUACCAGGUCUUGACAUACUAUGCAAAUCUAAGAGAUUAGACGUUCCCUUCGGGGACAUGGAUACAGGUGGUGCAUGGUUGUCGUCAGCUCGUGUCGUGAGAUGUUGGGUUAAGUCCCGCAACGAGCGCAACCCUUAUUAUCAGUUGCCAGCAUUAAGUUGGGCACUCUGGUGAGACUGCCGGUGACAAACCGGAGGAAGGUGGGGAUGACGUCAAAUCAUCAUGCCCCUUAUGACCUGGGCUACACACGUGCUACAAUGGAUGGUACAACGAGUUGCGAACUCGCGAGAGUAAGCUAAUCUCUUAAAGCCAUUCUCAGUUCGGAUUGUAGGCUGCAACUCGCCUACAUGAAGUCGGAAUCGCUAGUAAUCGCGGAUCAGCAUGCCGCGGUGAAUACGUUCCCGGGCCUUGUACACACCGCCCGUCACACCAUGAGAGUUUGUAACACCCAAAGUCGGUGGGGUAACCUUUUAGGAACCAGCCGCCUAAGGUGGGACAGAUGAUUAGGGUGAAGUCGUAACAAGUAAACCGUAAA